UACGUAGGGACCGAGCGUUGUCCGGGUUCAUUGGGCGUAAAGAGCUCGUAGGCGGCUGCUCAAGUCGAAUGUGAAAACUCGAGGCUCAACCUCGAGCUGUCGGCGGAAACCAUCUGGCUAGAGUCCGGAAGAGGAGAGUGGAAUUCCUGGUGUAGCGGUGAAAUGCGCAGAUAUCAGGAAGAACACCUAUGGCGAAGGCAGCUCUCUGGGACGGUACUGACGCUGAGACGCGAAAGCGUGGGGAGCGAACAGG
rnacentral:rRNA from 1 species